GCAGAGCCGGCUGCUCCCUCCUCCCUCUGCUGCCUGAGUCACAGAAGCCCGGGAUGUGUUCAAAAUCGAGCAAUGUAAUUAGCAGGUUGCGUCAUGCCCUCGAUUAUAAAUUACAACGGGCACAAAGAGGGAGGAUGGAGGAGCGGGGAUUAUAGGGGUAACCCAAUCCUGGUGCCCGGGAGGGGGGAUGGGGGGCUGGGAGCUACCACCCAGCCACUCAGGGACCCCAGGAGCCUCUGCCUACCCUGUCACAGGGCUCAAUGCCGGCUUUGUGUAGCCCGGGAUAAUGAUUUACAAACUUCAGGAAUCAGGAGGUGCGAAAAGAAGACGACCCUCUUAACCCGGCCAUUGUCUAUCCCCUGCCGGAACGCCCAGCAUGCCGCGGGCCUGUGCACCUGUGCACACGGAUGCUGUUUGAGGAUGCUCCAGAGAGAGACACAUCAAGAGAGGGAACACAAGCAGGAGGAGUGGGAGAUGGGGAACCAUCUCCUCACCCAGCAGGGAGCAGGAUGCAGGACUCCAUCGCAGGACCCUGGGAUCAUGUCCUGAGCCGAAGGCAGGUGCUUAACGACUAAGCCACCCUGGUGCCCAAGCAAGAGGUACUCUUGGUAAGUGGUAGAGACUGGGAUGGAAUCCCAGUGACCACUGCCUUUCCUCAGAUCCCGGUGCCGCUCCCUUGGACUGUUGCCCAGGCCACCAGCCUCGGCCCCCAGAUCCUUUUGCCGCCAUGCAACCACAGGACCUGGCGAAAACCUGUGACUCUGAGCACGCUCUGGCCCCGCUUAAAGCCCACCGAAGUCACCCUUCCCCAGGGUCCCAGGCCUGGCCCCUCCCUCCCUCUCCAGUUCCUUUCUUCUACGUGUAACCCAAGUUCCUCUGAGCUGCGGGGCCCUUCCCAGAACACCCCAGGCUAAUUCCCACCUCCAUGUCCUGGCACCAGCUGUUCCCCCAUGCAGGAUACCCUUCCCCUUGUUCUGCUGAGCAUUUUAGAUUCAGCCUUUAGGGACUCUGUGUCACCCCCUCCCAGGAGCCCUCUGCCCCGUGCCCCAUCUGUGCUUCCCACCUGAGCAAAGCCCUAUCUUCACAAGUGCGAGUUGGAUUGAAAGCACUCUGUGCUGUGUCCUUUCUAGGCCGUGAGCUCCCAUGGGUAGGUGGUGGGUGCCCCACACUCAGGGCCCUGCCUGCGUAUAAUCAGGGCUCAGAAGUAUCUUCUUUGUUGAACUGCUGCCUUUUCCCACAAGAGAGAAGAAGCGGAUGCAGCUUGAGCCCCAGGCCUGUGGGGUGAAGUCUGAAACCCUGGCUCAUUCAUUCACUCAAUCUGAGUACAUGUUACGAGCCAGGAAUGGGGGAAGUACCAGACCAGUUUCAAACAAUUCCCUGAAGGCAUUUACAGGCUUCCCCCCCAACCCCGCUCAAGGAGAAAAAUAUUCCUGAAGCUGUCCCCCAGAGUAGGCGGACCGCCAGGGGGACGGUGGCAGCGGGAGGCCGCCCGGUCAGCUUAGCCCAGCAGGGCCUGUGCCUUAUCGGCGGCGAUCUCCUGGCUCCCUCAGUCAACAGAAGCUGGGUGUGAGGAGGUGGUGACAGAGAGGGGGCCAUCUGGAGGCCUCUUCCCACCUGUUAGGAGCUCUCUGCACGUCCUCCCGUUGGUGAGGCAACCGUCCUUGUGUCUGCACCUCCUAGGCAGGUGACAACUCUGCUCCCAGGUCAGUGUGACAUUAGAUCCCUAAGUCGUGACCUCACUCAGGCAUCUGUCCUUGGGUCCCGUCUGUUUCUGAGCUGAGAGCCAAAAUAUCAGCAGUGACACGGCACCUGGAUACUCUUCCCAGAAAUGCCAAACACAGAACAAGUGUGGCAUUUGAUCAGAUAGGAACCCGGGAUUCAGAGACAUGAACGUACCUACCUGAGGUCACACAGCUCAUAGGAGCUUACUUCAGCCUGUAAAGUGCAUCCUUUCCUUCUUUCCCUGCCCUUGGGGACCUGCGCUGUGCCUCACAUUUGGUCUUUUCCAGGCCUAAUGUUGGUGCAGGUGUGAAUGACGGUAAUACCUCCAUCUGUUAGACACCUACGAUGUCCCCAGCACAGUUUCAAGUAUUUCAUUUACAUGCUUUCAAUUAAUCAUAUCUAUGGAGCGACAGACACUGUUCUAGAUGCUGGAGAUAUGGCAUUAAGCAAAGCACACAAAACUCUGAGGAAGCUCAUAUUCCAGUGAGAAAAGCAGAAUAAGCCAAGAAAUGAGUAAACAGAAAAUAACCUACAUGGUAAAAAGUAAAUUGGGA
ensembl:lincRNA